rnacentral:misc_RNA from 1 species
GAUGAAGAACGUAGCGAAAUGCGAUAAGUAAUGCGAAUUGCAGAAUUUCCGUGAGUCAUCGAAUCUUUGAACGCACAUUGCGCCCGCCAGCAUUCUGGCGGGCAUGCCUGUUCGAGCGUCAUUUCAACCCUCGACCUCCCCUUGGGGAGGUCGGCGUUGGGGACCGGCAGCACACCGCCGGCCCUGAAAUGGAGUGGCGGCCCGUCUGCGGCGACCUCUGCGUAGUAAUACAGCUCGCACCGGAACCCCGACGCGGCCACGCCGUAAAACACCCAACUUCUGAACGUUGACCUCGAAUCAGGUAGGACUACCCGCUGAACUUAAGCAUAUCAAUAAGCGGAGGA